GCGGACGUGGCGGAACUGGAAUACGCGUACGGCUUAGGACCGUAUUCCUUCGGGAGUGAGAGUUCGACCCUCUCCGUCCGCACCA
rnacentral:tRNA from 1 species